GUCUAUGGCCAUGCCACUCUGAACAAGCCCCAUCUCAUCUGAUUUCGGAAGGUAAGCAGGGUCGGGCCUGGUUAGUACUCGGAUGGGAGACCACCUAGGAAGACCAGGUGCUAUAGGCA
rnacentral:rRNA from 1 species